rnacentral:rRNA from 1 species
UACAGAGGGUGCGAGCGUUAAUCGGAAUUACUGGGCGUAAAGGGCGCGUAGGCGGCGUGUCAAGUCAGGCGUGAAAGCCCCGGGCUCAACCUGGGAACCGCGCUUGAGACUGGCAUGCUCGAGUUCGGGAGAGGAUGGUGGAAUUCCCAGUGUAGAGGUGAAAUUCGUAGAUAUUGGGAAGAACACCGAUGGCGAAGGCAGCCAUCUGGACCGACACUGACGCUGAGGCGCGAAAGCGUGGGGAGCAAACAGG